UAGGGUUUUCCAGUGUGGGAAAGUCAGCUGUACUAUCAACUAGGAAUAAACUAACAGGCAUUUUCCUAGUCCUCAACCUAGAAGAGAUGAGAUCAAAUGGCUCCUCCCUCUACAGGAUCACAUUCUUCCUGGUGUUGUCUACUUUGGCGCACACUGCUUUUUCAGCAAUUGUCAGAGAACGUAAUGGUUCCAGAUGGCCCAAGCACACUGGAACUGGGAUCCAAGGAUAAAUGAAAACUUCAUCCUUGGGGUUUAGCAAGGAUUUUAUUUUGGUUAUCAACUCAAGUGAUUAUGGGAUGAGCAAUGACACUACGUUGAAAGGAAAAAAGUAC